rnacentral:rRNA from 1 species
CCUACGGGAGGCAGCAGUGGGGAAUAUUGGUCAAUGGGCGCAAGCCUGAACCAGCCAUGCCGCGUGAAGGAUGACGGCCCUAUGGGUUGUAAACUUCUUUUGUACGGGAAAAAACCACCGGUCGUGUAUCGGUGCUGAUGGUACCGUAAGAAUAAGCAUCGGCUAACUCCGUGCCAGCAGCCGCGGUAAU